UACUAUGUUGAGCCGUGGUGGAGGUGGACAUCCCUGUCUUGUUCUUGACAGAGCCCUGCAAACUGAAUAUGAACGACUUGACAUAACUUCAGAGAAAUCACCACGACAGCUCAUAUGGAGAAAGUCUCAUGCCUGCUGCUGUGUUGGAUUGUUAACCAUCUCGAGACAUUUGACCCACAAACCAGGGAAAUCUGUUGACUGUCUUGCCUGCUCUUGUAUCUGAAGGUGCUUCGGGCUUGACAUCUAGAAAUCCUGUCUACUGGCUUUGUCAGGACCCAAAAGCUGAUUUCUAUUAUGACCUGAUCAUUAACCAUCAUUUUUCCCUUUGUUUCCAUAGAAAUGCCUCUUGUUUGAUCCCUGAUUUCUUGAACCAUAGGCUAACCUUUGAAAACACAUCUGUAUCACCACCUCCUGAAAUGAGUUUAACGGAACUGACCUGUGGUCAGGAUGAAGCGGAGUUCAAUGAAAUGGAACAAUUCACAGCUUAACUUUUCAUAGGGAGAACUUCUAGGGAGGUUCCAGAGGGGGGCCGAGUUCUGUAGGGGCCCAGGGCAGGUUGCCCCAAAUGUGACGCAUUGGUAUGAAGACUAUUUUGGGUUAAAAAUCAAGAGAGCUGCUCUGCCUCCUCUGUAACUGUCUAAAUUUACAUUGGAAGGGAGACCCUGCAACAGGAAGACAAGUAUUAAUGCCUCCCACCCCUAUCAAAGGAACUCAUCUGCAUAGUAGAACAAUCUUGUUUUUCUGAACAUUUCCUUCACAUUCUUGCUAAUAGGUUUUCUCCCUUUGUGACCUCAGGCCCCUACCUUCUUCCUUAGCCCUUACAAGCUUCAUGUUGCCCCAUCAUCUUUGGAAUUCCUUGUUGGUGUGGAUUCCUUUUCUGUAUGCCUAUUAAAUUUGAUUUUCUCUUGUG